GGAGGGUGCAAGCGUUAAUCGGAAUUACUGGGCGUAAAGCGCACGCAGGCGGUUUGUUAAGUCAGAUGUGAAAUCCCCGGGCUCAACCUGGGAACUGCAUUUGAAACUGGCAAGCUUGAGUCUUGUAGAGGGGGGUAGAAUUCCAGGUGUAGCGGUGAAAUGCGUAGAGAUCUGGAGGAAUACCGGUGGCGAAGGCGGCCCCCUGGACAAAGACUGACGCUCAGGUGCGAAAGCGUGGGGAGCAAACAGGAUUAGAUACCCUGGUAGUCCACGCCGUAAACGAUGUCGACUUGGAGGUUGUUCCCUUGAGGAGUGGCUUCCGGAGCUAACGCGUUAAGUCGACCGCCUGGGGAGUACGGCCGCAAGGUUA
rnacentral:rRNA from 1 species